rnacentral:rRNA from 1 species
UACGUAGGGUGCGAGCGUUGUCCGGAAUUAUUGGGCGUAAAGGGCUCGUAGGCGGUUUGUCACGUCGGGAGUGAAAACUCGGGGCUUAACCCCGAGCCUGCUUCCGAUACGGGCAGACUAGAGGUAUGCAGGGGAGAACGGAAUUCCUGGUGUAGCGGUGAAAUGCGCAGAUAUCAGGAGGAACACCGGGGGCGAAGGCGGUUCUCUGGGCCGAUACUGACGCUGAGGAGCGAAAGCGUGGGGAGCGAACAGG